rnacentral:rRNA from 1 species
UAUCAAUUAAGCGGAGGAAAAGAAACCAACAGGGAUUGCCCUAGUAACGGCGAGUGAAGCGGCAACAGCUCAAAUUUGAAAUCUGGCUCUUUCAGAGUCCGAGUUGUAAUUUGCAGAGGGCGCUUUGGCUUUGGCAGCGGUCCAAGUUCCUUGGAACAGGACGUCACAGAGGGUGAGAAUCCCGUACGUGGUCGCUAGCUAUUGCCGUGUAAAGCCCCUUCGACGAGUCGAGUUGUUUGGGAAUGCAGCUCUAAAUGGGAGGUAAAUUUCUUCUAAAGCUAAAUAUUGGCCAGAGACCGAUAGCGCACAAGUAGAGUGAUCGAAAGAUGAAAAGCACUUUGGAAAGAGAGUCAAACAGCACGUGAAAUUGUUGAAAGGGAAGCGCUUGCAGCCAGACUUGCUUGCAGUUGCUCAUCCGGGCUUUUGCCCGGUGCACUCUUCUGUAGGCAGGCCAGCAUCAGUUUGGGCGGUGGGAUAAAGGUCUCUGUCACGUACCUCUCUUCGGGGAGGCCUUAUAGGGGAGACGACAUACCACCAGCCUAGACUGAGGUCCGCGCAUCUGCUAGGAUGCUGGCGUAAUGGCUGUAAGCGGCCCGUCUGAA